rnacentral:rRNA from 1 species
UAAACUAGGAUUAGAUACCCUAUUAUUUUAAAUGUAAAAAUUUAUAAAUACUAAAUUAGUAUUAGUUAUGUUCUUGAAAAUUAAAAAAUUUGGCGGUAUUUUAGUCUUUUCAGAGGAAUCUGUCCUGUAAUUGAUAGUCCACGAUUAAAUUUACUUUAUUUAUUAGUUUACAUAUCGUCGUAGUUUGAAUAUUUUAAGAGAAAAUUAAUAUUCAAAAUUUUAAAUUAAAAAAGAUAUCAGAUCAAGGUGUAGUUUAUAUUAAAGAAGAGAUGGAUUACAAUAAAUUAAUUUUAGGAAAAUUUAUUAAAAAUAAAUUUGAAUUUGGAUUUGAAAGUAAUUUU